rnacentral:rRNA from 1 species
AUGCAUGCAACUGUCACAUUAUCGGAUAUUCCUCUACAGUACGAGCCUGUUAUAACUGUUGGUGCUAUGGCUAUUAUACGAACUACAUACGUAUGUUCGGAUACCCCAAUAGAUGAAUCAUCUCUUGGUAGUUUGGAAAUGCAUCAAGGUGGAGUGCUAACUCCAAACUGUUCUGCCCUGACUCUUGAUUAUAAACCUUUGAAAGGGUCUGAUAAAUAUUUUGAAGUGAAGUGUCUUGCCCAGGAUUCUAUUAUUGAAAUGGAGUAUAUUGAUCUCAAGAAGCAUACUGCAUACAGAAUAGAGUCUGCCCCUGUGUUUGAUAUGACUGGUAAAGUGGUGGGUUUAAUAUACUCAGCUGGUACUGAUGUUGAUGUGAAGAAUGGGUUUCUGUCCAAAUACAUUAUCUCAUCCUUAAGAUCCAUCUGUAAGAAUACUGACUGGGAGGCAAGACUUAAGAGAAUGGGGGACCUGAAGUAUUCUAACAUGUUUGGCAAUGAAGAAUGA